ensembl:lncRNA LINC02646 long intergenic non-protein coding RNA 2646
UGAGUGCUUCCCUGGUGCUGGGCUCUGUGUUGAAGACUCAGAUCCUCCGUCUUGGGGUCUCGUCAUUAUUUGAGUGCUUCCUCGGUGCUGGGCUCUGUGCUGAAGACUCAAAUCCUCCGUCUUGGGGUCUUGUCAUUAUUUGAGUGCUUCCUCGGUGCUGGGCUCUGUGUUGAAGACUGAAAUCCUCCGUCUUGGGGUCUCGUCAUUAUUUGAGCGCUUCCUCGGUGCUGGGCUGUGUGCUGAAGACUCAAAUCCUCCGUCUUGGGGUCUCGUCAUUAUUUGAGUGCUUCCUUGGUGCUGGGCUCUGUGCUGAAGACUCAAAUCCUCCAUCCUGAGGGCCCUUCUGCAUAGAGGCUUGUCCCUAUCCUGCAGCAGAGGGGCUUCUUCACAUAUGAACGGACACAGAAACAUCGGCACAGGCUUCCUUUGAUUGAAACUCCUACUUGGUUCUUUUCUGGAUCUCAAGAAGUGGAUGGUUGUCAGCUCUUGGGAGCAGAUGCAGGUGCAGGAGAGGAGUCGCGUUGCCUGGGGGUUCCAGCGGACUUGGUUCAGGUGGCAUGAUGUCAUUUUGUCAUUAGGCACCACCGUGGGGACUGCAUGUUGUCAAUGGACCCACUAUGCUCAUGAUGCUCCUUAUCGAGUUCUACCCUGUGCAGCUCCCAGGCCCUGCUGCUGGGGCAGUCGCCUGGGGCCCCUCACCAUCUGACGGCUGUCACCGCAGGCCAGGAUGUGCACUCUCAACAGCCCAGGCUUUGAGGGCUGCUCUGGAGUAUGAUGGAUACUGUAGCUGUUCGCUUUUGAAAAAGAAAGACCUGUGGCGAGAGCAUUUCCUUCUCUAAGUAAACACCUGACUGGGUCCUGUUCA